rnacentral:rRNA from 1 species
GGGUGAGUAACACGUAUGCAACCUGCCCCUGUCAGGGGGACAACCCGCCGAAAGGCGGGCUAAACCCGCGUACAUGCCACCGGGGCAUCCCGGAGGCAGGAAAGGCUUCGGCCGGACAGGGAUGGGCAUGCGGCGCAUUAGGCAGUAGGCGGGGUAACGGCCCACCUAACCGACGAUGCGUAGGGGUUCUGAGAGGAAGGUCCCCCACACUGGUACUGAGACACGGACCAGACUCCUACGGGAGGCAGCAGUGAGGAAUAUUGGUCAAUGGUCGGGAGACUGAACCAGCCAAGCCGCGUGAGGGAGGAAGGUACAGAGUAUCGUAAACCUCUUUUGUCAGGGAACAAAGACUGGGACGCGUCCCCGGAUGAGUGUACCUGAAGAAAAAGCAUCGGCUAACUCCGUGCCAGCAGCCGCGGUAAUACGGAGGAUGCGAGCGUUAUCCGGAUUUAUUGGGUUUAAAGGGUGCGCAGGCGGUCUGUUAAGUCAGCGGUCAAAGCCCGGGGCUCAACCCCGGCCCGCCGUUGAAACUGGCAGUCUCGAGUUGGAGAGAAGUAUGCGGAAUGCGCGGUGUAGCGGUGAAAUGCAUAGAUAUCGCGCAGAACUCCGAUUGCGAAGGCAGCAUGCCGGCUCCACACUGACGCUGAGGCACGAAAGCGUGGGUAUCGAACAGGAUUAGAUACCCUGGUAGUCCACGCAGUAAACGAUG